GGAUAACCAACUCAUUUCACAUAACUUGGCAAAGAUCAGUAGCUGUUGCAAGGUUGUGAUGAAUAAGCCAUCAUACACAUAACACCAGAUGUGUUAACAUGAGUUCAUCAUGAGUGGGAGAGGUGAUCCAUGGGUCGCCACAGCGGCUUAUCCAUCUCCAUACCCU